rnacentral:rRNA from 1 species
CGGCGAACGGGUGAGUAACACGUGAGCAACCUGCCCUCAGCUCUGGGAUAGCUCCGGGAAACCGGAAUUAAUACCGGAUACGACCACGGCCGACAUCGGCCGUGGUGUAAAGGAUUCCGGCUGAGGAUGGACUCGCGGCCUAUCAGCUAGUUGGUGGAGUAACGGCCCACCAAGGCGACGACGGGUAGCCGGCCUGAGAGGGCGACCGGCCACACUGGGACUGAGACACGGCCCAG